AUUGAACGCUAGCGGUAUGCUUUACACAUGCAAGUCGAACGCGUGGCGGACGGGUGAGUAAUAUAUCAGAACGUGCCCCGUAGCGGGGGAUAACUACUCGAAAGAGUGGCUAAUCCCGCAUACUAUUGGAGCGGCCGAUAGCGGAUUAGCUAGUGGGGGGGGAAACGGCUCCCCAAGGCAACGAUCCGUCGCUGGUUUGAGAGGACGACCAGCCACACUGGGACUGAGACACGGCCCAGACUCCUACGGGAGGCAGCAGUGGGGAAUUUUGGACAAUGGGCGAAACCCUGAUCCAGCCAUGCCGCGUGUAUGAGAAGGCCUUCGGGUUGUAAAGUACUUUUGGCAGAGAAGCGUUAUCUGCAGAAGAAGCACCGGCUAACUACGUGCCAGCAGCCGCGGUAAUUC
rnacentral:rRNA from 1 species